UACGAAGGGGGCUAGCGUUGUUCGGAAUUACCGGGCGUAAAGGGCGCGUAGGCGGUGUGUCAAGUCAGGCGUGAAAGCCCCGGGCUCAACCUGGGAACAGCGCUUGAGACUGGCACGCUCGAGUUCGGGAGAGGAUGGUGGAAUUCCCAGUGUAGAGGUGAAAUUCGUAGAUAUUGGGAAGAACACCGAUGGCGAAGGCAGCCAUCUGGACCGACACUGACGCUGAGGCGCGAAAGCGUGGGGAGCAAACAGG
rnacentral:rRNA from 1 species